AAAAAUAUGACCGUUUAAAGGGUCGUAAUCGAUUACACCGAAAGUGUAACCAAUUACACCUACAAAAAAUGUGAGAAUUUUGAACCAUUGCGAUUCCAAUUCAUUUCAAUUGUUCACGGAUCUUCCUCAAACCAUUAUAUAAAAUCCUACUUCAAGAGGAAAUUAUAGUCGUGAAACCUUGUUACGGGAUGACCAUAAAAUGCAUUCUUUUUCUGAUCAUCAGUAACCAAAUUCAUAUCUUUAAGGUGACUGAAACACAUACU
rnacentral:lncRNA from 1 species